CAGCUGUUCUUGGGAGCAGUUCUCAGGUGUUUGAAGUUGAGGCCAUUUGGGGUGGGUUUUUGAGUUGGAGGAAGUAGGCCGUAUUUCUUAAAACCAGAUUCCUCUCAGGGAAUCUUCUCCAGAGGAAGAGAACCCAUUACCCUGGGACUGGAAAGCUGAGCUUCCUUUCCCUAAUUGAGCAGGGAGCAUGCCGAGGCCUUCCCCUGAAGCCCACUUUGCUAGAAGAAGGAGGUCUCCAUGUUCUGGAGGUAGAGCUUUAGCUCUGAGCAGCUUGGGGCCUUCCUCUGGCCAACAAACCUCAGAAUUGAAAGUUCCUUUAAUUAAAGAGUAUCCAAAGGGAGUCUGUGUUGGGCUUGGAGAAUGUUCAUUUCCAGUGAGACCUCCUGUUGUGCUGGACAUUCCAUUCCCUGAUGGAGAACAUGGUGCCAUCUGAGUCUAUCCUACCCAGUCGGAUGCAAGUUUUGUUUUUUGUCGUUGGGCUGCUGGUAAGCAGGCAUAAGUGUUGAUUUUUUCUUUCUCUCUCUGUCUCUCCUUCCUUCCUUUCUUCCUAUUCUUUUUCUCUCCCUAUCCCAUCCCCUCGCCAUUCUCUGUCUUCUCCUUCCCUUAAGGAGAAUAAGUGGAUAGCCAGAGAUUUUAGUAGCCUCAAUAUAUUUUUCUGUCCUUGGAAUUGGGAUGGGAGUGAUCAUUAGUUACAUAAGAUUGCUUAGGAACCUAGAG
rnacentral:lncRNA from 1 species